GGUGAACGCUAGCGGCAGGCUUAAUACAUGCAAGUCGAGGGCUCAGCAAUGGGACCGGCGCACGGGUGCGUAACACGUAUGCAACCUGCCUGUAUCUGGGGGAUAGCCCGAGGAAACUCGGAUUAAUACCGCAUACCACUGAGGGUCGGCAUCGAUUUUCAGUGAAAGAUUUAUCGGAUACAGAUGGGCAUGCGCAGGAUUAGCUAGUUGGUGUGGUAACGGCACACCAAGGCGACGAUCCUUAGGGGCUCUGAGAGGAGUAACCCCCACACUGGCACUGAGAUACGGGCCAGACUCCUACGGGAGGCAGCAGUAGGGAAUAUUGGGCAAUGGAGGCAACUCUGACCCAGCCAUGCCGCGUGCAGGAAGACGGCCCUCUGGGUUGUAAAACUGCUUUUAAGUAGGAGGAAAGUGCAGCUUGCGAGCUGUUUUGACGUUACUACUAGAAUAAGCCACGGCUAACUACGUGCCAGCAGCCG
rnacentral:rRNA from 1 species